AUGGAUAUUAAGGUGAACGGGUCUGUG
rnacentral:sRNA from 1 species